rnacentral:lncRNA from 1 species
AAUCAAGGAGAGCCUGAUUCAGACUUCCUGUCUGAAGUAUGAAGUAACAAACUCCAAAGAUCAUGUUUCAAAGCCUUUAUACCAAUUAGGUGUGUCAGAGUUCUCUAAGAGUUUCAGAAUAACUACAGGCAGUGCCUACACCCAAAUAUAUCACCAUAUUAAGCCAUAGUGCAGUGUGGAAGGGCAGCCCUCGGGUGUCCAAGUUCAUAGAGAACUCAAGGUCCUAAGGCAAGGCUCACAAGAUAUGGUCAUAACUUAGGAACUAAGAAAGAGUGCAAUGCAGAAUUCUGAAAAGGAAAGGGAAACAGUACACAUAGGGAUAUAGGGAAUGGGGAGUUGCAGGAGGUAAAACGCCGGCUAGUGUGCAUAACCCAACAAUGGGAGAUGUUGGCACAACCAUAAGCCUACUGGAACACAUUAUUUAGAGGUUAGGAUCCCCUAAGGGAUAAAGUUUAAUCCAUAUAAAACAACUUGCAUAUUUCCACAUUGUAAACUGUAACUUAAAGCACAUAAAGGGAAUAGGGAAUAGGGGUUCAUAGCAGAAACAAACAAAAAGAAAUCAACAUGCUAAUUUAAGUAUUUAAAUCUUCAGAAGUAGUAAAGUAGACAUGGAUACCAAAAGCUAUAAGUAAACACAUUGUGGUGAUGCUGAAACAUAAAAUUAGGACAUACCAGUUUCAAAGAGACAAGUAGAAAAAUGUAGUAAUCUUGUGAAAGUCAAAAUGCAGAUAAGAAGAGAGAGUUCUAUUAUGUGAGAGUAAGAAUUUAGAAGAGAUUGUGAAUUGUGUCGUGUGUUUGUGAAGAAAGGUCGUGUCUUUUAUAGUGUAGAAAUUAUGCAUAAAUAAGGUAAGAAAAUAGUUGAAGAACUGAUUGUCAAUCAAUUUAACAAGACUUCCCUUAAUUAAGGGAUUCAGAUUCAAAUGGUUGAAAAUCAACUAAGAAAAGAAAUUAACCAAACACUUUGUGCAAAGUAGGUAAUCAAGGGUGAAUACAUAAGAGUUUUGUUCAAAAACAAAAUUUUGAAAUACACGGUUGUGCAAUUAAGGAAAGAGAAUCAAUUAAUAGCCAAGAAAUCAGAGGCUGGAGAUUUUUUUAUGAAUGAACCGAGUCAAAGAUAGGAAAGGUUUUUAACUUAUAGGAAAUCAACAAACAUGGAAACAGAACCAAUUGAGCUAUAUUCAUAGGGGAGUAUGAACUAAUUGCAGAUUUAAAAACUACUUUAGAGGAAAGUUCAUCAUAUAGAAGGAGCAUACAAAACACGUUAAGCAUAAAAGAAGACUGUAGUUUCAUUGUAAAAAUCAAUAGAAAAUCCAGUAUAGAAGAGUUUAGCAAAAGGUGAGAGUCAUAUGAAUACAAAUAAGUCUAAACUCAAUUCAAAGACUCGAAGUUAGUAUGAAAGAGUCA